rnacentral:rRNA from 2 species
AUGGUCCCGCGGCGUAUUAGCUAGAUGGUGAGGUAACGGCUCACCAUGGCAAUGAUACGUAGCCGACCUGAGAGGGUAAUCGGCCACAUUGGGACUGAGACACGGCCCAAACUCCUACGGGAGGCAGCAGUAGGGAAUCUUCCACAAUGGACGAAAGUCUGAUGGAGCAACGCCGCGUGAGUGAAGAAGGGUUUCGGCUCGUAAAACUCUGUUGUUAAAGAAGAACAUAUCUGAGAGUAACUGUUCAGGUAUUGACGGUAUUUAACCAGAAAGCCACGGCUAACUACGUGCCAGCAGCCGCGGUAAUACGUAGGUGGCAAGCGUUGUCCGGAUUUAUUGGGCGUAAAGCGAGCGCAGGCGGUUUUUUAAGUCUGAUGUGAAAGCCUUCGGCUCAACCGAAGAAGUGCAUCGGAAACUGGGAAACUUGAGUGCAGAAGAGGACAGUGGAACUCCAUGUGUAGCGGUGAAAUGCGUAGAUAUAUGGAAGAACACCAGUGGCGAAGGCGGCUGUCUGGUCUGUAACUGACGCUGAGGCUCGAAAGUAUGGGUAGCAAACAGGAUUAGAUACCCUGGUAGUCCAUACCGUAAACGAUGAAUGCUAAGUGUUGGAGGGUUUCCGCCCUUCAGUGCUGCAGCUAACGCAUUAAGCAUUCCGCCUGGGGAGUACGGCCGCAAGGCUGAAACUCAAAGGAAUUGACGGGGGCCCGCACAAGCGGUGGAGCAUGUGGUUUAAUUCGAAGCUACGCGAAGAACCUUACCAGGUCUUGACAUACUAUGCAAAUCUAAGAGAUUAGACGUUCCCUUCGGGGACAUGGAUACAGGUGGUGCAUGGUUGUCGUCAGCUCGUGUCGUGAGAUGUUGGGUUAAGUCCCGCAACGAGCGCAACCCUUAUUAUCAGUUGCCAGCAUUAAGUUGGGCACUCUGGUGAGACUGCCGGUGACAAACCGGAGGAAGGUGGGGAUGACGUCAAAUCAUCAUGCCCCUUAUGACCUGGGCUACACACGUGCUACAAUGGAUGGUACAACGAGUUGCGAACUCGCGAGAGUAAGCUAAUCUCUUAAAGCCAUUCUCAGUUCGGAUUGUAGGCUGCAACUCGCCUACAUGAAGUCGGAAUCGCUAGUAAUCGCGGAUCAGCAUGCC